rnacentral:tRNA from 1 species
UGCAUCGGCCGGGAAUCGAACCCUGGCCGCCCGCGUGGCAGGCGAGCAUUCUACCACUGAAUCACCGAUGC